UAGAUUAAAAAAAAUCAACAGGAAUUUCCCCGUAAACCAGCAGAUAGUCUACAUGGGCUGGACGGAAGAACGGGAACAAGACUCCCUUCAGGAUCGAAUGUAUACACCAAAGUUUCUAGCACUAAGGGGAUCUUCUCUGUAUAAAUUUAUGGCACCUCCAGUCACAACCUGGGAUUGGACACGAGCUGAGAAAACAUUUUCAGUCUAUGAGAUAAUGUGCAAAAUUUUCAAGGUAUGAUGAAAAAGUGUAAA